rnacentral:tRNA from 1 species
GCGCGGUUAGCUCAGUGGUAGAGCAGUGCUUUUACACAGCAAAGGUCGGGGGUUCAAAUCCCUCACCGCGCA